rnacentral:rRNA from 1 species
AUUGAACGCUGGCGGCAUGCCUUACACAUGCAAGUCGAACGGUAACAGGUCUUCGGAUGCUGACGAGUGGCGAACGGGUGAGUAAUACAUCGGAACGUGCCUAGUAGUGGGGGAUAACUACUCGAAAGAGUGGCUAAUACCGCAUGAGAUCUACGGAUGAAAGCAGGGGAUCGCAAGACCUUGUGCUACUAGAGCGGCCGAUGGCAGCUUAGGUAGUUGGUGGGAUAAAAGCUUACCAAGCCGACGAUCUGUAGAUGGCCUGAGAGGACGAUCAGCCACACUGGGACUGAGACACGGCCCAGACUCCUACGGGAGGCAGCAGUGGGGAAUUUUGGACAAUGGGCGAAAGCCUGAUCCAGCAAUGCCGCGUGCAGGAUGAAGGCCUUCGGGUUGUAAACUGCUUUUGUACGGAACGAAAAGCCCUGGGUUAAUACCCUGGGGUCAUGACGGUACCGUAAGAAUAAGCACCGGCUAACUACGUGCCAGCCGCCGCCGUAA